rnacentral:lncRNA from 1 species
CAUCAACAUAACCCAGUUAGGGUCGCACUCAUCACGGGGCCCCCAUUGCCUCUGGCGCACCCCACGACUGACAUCUGCGGGGCCUUCGCGCUAGGCUUCGAGUUUCAGCUUCCGCACCAGGCCUGCCUUUCUGCAGGGGCCAGGGUGGGGGUCGUGUGCUGAUUGGGCCCUCUGAACCGCCACCGCUGCAGAGGGGCUGUUCCUUCUGUCACAUCCCUUGUGCCCGAAUCCACCCUGUGUCUUCUCUUUUCUCAGCAGGACAUUUUAAAAGCCCAGACCCCCUCCUUACAGAGCAAAUGUCCAGGCUUCGGAGGUCACUGUCACAUCCCAAGAACCCCCUUCACCAGGUGCCACUCUUGAGACUGGACUGAAGCCCCCUGGAGAGCUCACUGCUGGGAGCCUGGUUUUCUCACUGUCCAGCUGUGUGGCUCGGGGGCCCCCGUCUCUAUGUCUCAGUGAUGACAACACUGGCCGUGUGGGUCCUGGUGGGCCUUGAGUGGGUUCCUCUGCUCAGACAUGAGGUGCUUAGACCUCACCCUAGCUCUGCCCUGUGACCUUGGCAGGUCACCCGGGGUCACUUUCCCAUCGGAGUGGGGGUGGGGACUGGAACCAGCCACUCCCAGGUCCCUCCUCUGAGGUUGCUCUUGGCACUGGUCCUGGGGACAGGGCUGCAGGGGACUCUGGCCUCUCUCUCCCCUCUCAGUUCCACUUGCCUUUGUCCUGCUGCCUGAGGUGAGGACAUGGACGGCCGGGUACAAGACGGGGCAGGCAACCUCGCAGUGGUGGUAACCCUGUGCAUGAACCCUGGGCCUGGCACGUGGACCUCCUGUGACCGUCCCCACAGGCCCGUGAGGCUGAGCUUGGCACUGCCCAAGACCACACAGUCCAUGCGCGGUGGAGCUGGGGUCCAGGCUGCCCACCAGGGCAGUGACUACAAUGGUGGCAGCAGGGGACGGUCACCGUCAUGAGCUCAAGCCAGGCGCUGCACUGACCUUGAGGGAGGGCUCCAUGCUUCCCCUUCCCACAGCUGCAGUGAGGCCUAGCAGAGCAGGGUCGGCUGCGGGCUUGAGUCCUGGGGUGCCCCUGGGCUGACGGGCCCUGCCUGACCUGCUCCUCCAGUGCCCCAGCCCUGCCCCACCCACGUCCCCUCCUCUCACUGCCCCCUGGCCCACUCCGCUGCGGUCUCAGUGCCUUCCCAGGCUGGGCAUCAUCUGAUGGGAGGAAAAUGAGGGCCCCAGACUCUGUGUCAUCCUGGCAGGACCCCUCCCCUCCCAUGGCUUUGAGCCCAUGAGAUGGCCUUGGACAAAGCGGCAAUGGGCCCUUCCUGAGACACAGUGCGGCCAUCUACUGGAAAACUGCCCAGUGUGACUCUGAUGACUGUGAUGUGAAUCCUACAGCAAAGUUGAGCAGUGCGCAACCUGGGCUACUGCACCUGGCAGCCCCGGCUCCUCCUCGUCUGCCUCUUCCUGCUCCUUCAUUCUCCCCCAGAGCUCUAAUUGUCACUGAGAUUUUAUGUUUCAUUUAACAAAUGACUGUCUCCCCGCUUGAACAGAACCUCCAUGGGGGGAGGGAAGAGUGUCUGUUGUAUAAAUAGUUGUAUUUCAGUGCAUAAAACAGUGCCUGCCUCAAAGGGAGGACUCAGUCAAUAUCUGUUGAAUGAAUGAAUGAAUAAUUGCCUGGGUCAACGAAUGAAUGGCUGAAUGAAUGAUUUCUCCUUUCCCUCGGCACUGUCUGGAGUCCCCAGGACAGGCAUGGGCAGCAGUCGCUGGUCUGUGGCCUGUCCCACUGGACUUGGGGUUCUCAUGCUUGGUCUGGGCGGAGAUCACCCACCAGGCUCCCAGGUCGAUCCUCUGCUCAUGGGAAGCUGCGUCCGGCCCAGCUGCCAGGAGCUCACUGCAGGGUGGAGGGAAGAGCAGGGACGAUCUGCGAGCGCCUGAACAGCGCACAAGAGCCGAGGAGCCGCUGCUUAAAAUGCAGGCGUUGAGAGGAGUUUCGCCUCCUUUUUUGAGUUGAAUAUGAGAUUUCCGAGCAGCCAUGACGAGUUGGGUUGGUGGAAGUGGGGAGUCCGUUCCUCAGUCAGAUGGAGGAGGGGGUCCCCUUGGAUCUCCUCUCGGGGCUCGAACCCUGAUACUUCAAGGUCUCUUCCCACCUGCCCUUGGUGGAUCUGGAAAGCUCCUGGGAACAGGGUGGGUCUUCCUUGUUUUAAAGGUUGUAAGUUGAGAGCACCUCACAUAACUGCCUGGGGCGGCUCUGACGGGCCUCAGUCUGCUUGUGAUGUCACACAGGAAGCCCCUGGGGACUGGGCCGCUCAAGUCCUCCUGGGUCAGACCAGAUCACUGGGCCUGUGGGUUCCGCAGUGAGUCCAGCAUCGUUUCCUGUGCAGUGACCCAGGCCGGGUCCCCAUGGGCUCUGACUAGGGGACAGUGGGACUCGGGGUUGGGGGGCCUGCUUGAGUCAUGGCUUCACUGUCCACUGUGACUGGGGACCCCCAGGGGGAUUUCUGGGGACGCAUUCACCUACUGCACUGGGGUUUCUCUUUCAGAACCACAACACCCUGGAAGGCAAGAAAUGGGGAGCUGCAUCUGCAUCCACAGGGUCCCACCAGCCUGGAACAUCCCCGCUGGUCUAGAAUCCCACCCCACACACCCCGCUGAUCCUGGGCCCGUCCCUGUGACCAGGAGACGGAGUCCAGGGACUCCCCAGGCCUGGGCCACGCGACUGCCCUAAGAGCCUGGCAUCAGGGAGCAGUGCUGUGUGCACCCCCAGGUCCACUGAGAGUAGGG